rnacentral:rRNA from 1 species
UACGUAGGGUGCAAGCGUUGUCCGGAAUUAUUGGGCGUAAAGCGCGUGUAGGCGGCCCUGCAAGUCGGGUGUGAAAUCCCACGGCUCAACCGUGGAAGUGCACUCGAAACUGCAGGGCUAGAGUCCUGGAGAGGAAGGUGGAAUGCUUGGUGUAGAGGUGAAAUUCGUAGAUAUCAAGCGGAACACCGGUGGCGAAGGCGGCCUUCUGGACAGUGACUGACGCUGAGACGCGAAAGCGUGGGGAGCAAACAGG